GGGCCUGUAGCUCAGGUGGUUAGAGCGCACCCCUGAUAAGGGUGAGGUCA
rnacentral:tRNA from 1 species